rnacentral:rRNA from 1 species
GCGUGCGGGAAGAAGGCCUUCGGGUUGUAAACCGCUUUUGUCAGGGAAGAAACGUCCCGGGAUAAUACCCUGGGAUAAUGACGGUACCUGAAGAAUAAGCACCGGCUAACUACGUGCCAGCAGCCGCGGUAAUACGUAGGGUGCAAGCGUUAAUCGGAAUUACUGGGCGUAAAGCGUGCGCAGGCGGUCGCACAAGACAGAUGUGAAAUCCCCGGGCUUAACCUGGGAACUGCAUUUGUGACUGUGUGGCUGGAGUGCGGCAGAGGGGGAUGGAAUUCCGCGUGUAGCAGUGAAAUGCGU